rnacentral:rRNA from 1 species
CCUACGGGAGGCAGCAGUGAGGAAUCUUGGUCAAUGGACGCAAGUCUGAACCAGCCAUGCCGCGUGCAGGAUGACGGCUCUAUGAGUUGUAAACUGCUUUUGUACGAGGGUAAAUCCCGAUACGUGACUCUGGUUGAAAGUAUCGUACGAAUAAGGAUCGGCUAACUCCGUGCCAGCAGCCGAGGUAAUACGGAGGAUCCGAGGGUUAUCCGGAUUUAUUGGGUUUAAAGGGUGCGCAGGCGGUUGGAUAGGUUAGAGGUGAAAUGUCGGGGCUCAACCCCGAAACUGCCUCUAAUACUGUUGAACUAGAGAGUAGAUGCGGUAGGCGGAAUGUAUGGUGUAGCGGUGGAAUGCUUAGAGAU